rnacentral:lncRNA from 1 species
AUUGAAUUGCAUUGUGUGUGCAGUGCAACUGAAAGUGUAAUUACACUUUCUUACUGAUGUAAUAAUUAGAUGUUUAGAAGUCAGCCUCAUGUCGUUUCUGAAAGGAAUACCAGCUGAUCACAGCACAGAACAGAUUCCCAUCAAAUUUACUUCUUAGCAAAGGACGUGUAUAUGACAUUGUAGUAUCUGAAGCAGAUGUAAAUGGGAGAAUAGGUCCUCUUCUCAGCAGAGCUCAGUAUGGGAUUUGACAGACCUAGUAAGGGCAUGAUGAAGGUCCUGGCUGCAAUAGGUUGAAGCCAUGUGACUGGGACAGACUGCGUCCUGGCAUGGACAGACAGAUCUGAAGACACUGGAGCUAUGCCACCUCACUGUAACUUACUGCUUUCAGUAAUUUCAGACUCCGCAAUAGCACUCUUCUCCUUCUGCUUUGCCUUGUGGCACAUGCAUCACCAGUGCAAUACCUCACUGAUGCUGGAGUUGCAACUAAAGUGGAGACUAGAUUUAGAAAAUGAGGGAAAGAAAAGCUAUAUCACUCCCUGUCACUGUAAAUCUGCCUAUGACUCCAUGAUCAGAGUGUCUCCGUACUGGAAGGCUAUUAUUCAUGAUACCUGCACCUGGGAGAAGGUUUUCUAGCCAGUAAAAACCCAUAUCCAGUAAGAUGCUGAAUGUAAUGGAUGCAGACAAAAUAUUCAAGAUAGAUAAGGUGGAUGUUGUAAUUACAUUUUCAUCCCAAAUGUAAAAAAAAUACUUUUUGAGCAGAAUACUCUUAUCAAUUUGCUAGGUCCAUAUGGCUGUGCUGUUCUGUUUAUAUUCACAGGAAACUUGUUGUAUUUAUCCAAAAAGACUCAACGUGUAUUUGUACUGAGUUGAAAGGAGACUGCUUAUUGAGCUUUGAUUUUAUGGGCUGUAUUGGAUAAAGUCUAAUUUCUUUGCCAAAU